rnacentral:rRNA from 1 species
GUCAGCUCGUGUCGUGAGAUGUUGGGUUAAGUCCCGCAACGAGCGCAACCCUUGCCUUUAGUUGCCAGCAGUUCGGCUGGGCACUCUAAAGGGACUGCCGGUGUUAAACCGGAGGAAGGUGGGGAUGACGUCAAGUCCUCAUGGCCUUUAUGACCAGGGCUACACACGUACUACAAUGGCCGAUACAAAGGGCAGCGACACUGCGAGGUGAAGCCAAUCCCGUAAAAUCGGUCUCAGUCCGGAUUGGAGUCUGCAACUCGACUCCAUGAAGUUGGAAUCGCUAGUAAUCGUGGAUCAGCAUGCCACGGUGAAUACGUUCCCGGGCCUU